CCAGGCUAGAGUCAGGACCAGCUGAUCGAAGGCAGACGCGUUUGUACCUGGAACAGAAAGUGCAGAUACGCAUGAGCACAUGCAUGCACGCACACACACAGAGGGGAUGGAUAUACAUAUCCAGGGGAAGCACAAAAAUGCAAGUAUGUCCUACCCUCCCUCCUCGGUCUGCUUGUGGACAUACGCUAGUAUGUCAGCAGCUCGGCCCGUCCCCUCACACACCACCACCGGGACAGGAGGGCUUUCCUGAAGGUAAUCAAGCACGGUCAAGAUCACAUUGGGACCGCCCUCGAAGAUGAGUGCCACUACAGGAACACCCUGACCGAUACCUGCAAAGGAAAAAGACAGGUUUUGUCAUUGAACCUUCUGGAAUGAUACUAAUUACAUGUCCGAGGCUCUUACGCGCAUGUAUUCUUUGGAGGUUGAUGUGCUUCUCUAGGUCCCGUCGCAGUUGUACCUCCGCGCCGUACUUGCCCACCGUGCCGUCAUCCACCAGGAGAAAAUGAUGGCUCCAUGAGCUGGGCAAACGCCUGGAGAUGCCCUACGUCAACAACACGGUCGGCGGCCCGUUGGUGCGUAGCUCGUACAUCGCAGCCCUCUACUUCACCCUCAGCAGCCUGACCAGCGUCGGCUUUGGCAACGUGUGCGCCAACACGGACGCCGAGAAGAUCUUCUCCAUCUGCACCAUGCUCAUCGGCGGUAUGCCGGACGCUUUGUAUGGAAUAACGUGAUUGGGCAGGCACGCUGUUUAUAUCGUGGGAAAGCGGACGUGAAAAAAGGCUGUCCUCACUCAGGUUCGCUUGGACCUGGAGGGGGCGUGGCCUGCAGCUCCGGCUGAAAAUCGGGAGAUUUUCGGGGGAAUAUUUGUCCCGGGAGGUUUUUGGGAGAGGCGCUGAAUUUCGGGAGUCUCCCGGAAAAUUCGGGAGUGUUGGCAAGUAUGCAUCUACACUUCUUAAACUUUACUAAGCACUUAUUUUGUUACUGUUGUUGAAAGCUAGCUUAUCGGUUAGCUUAGAUAUUACUUUCGAAGUGAAACAUGUUUAGUCUCAUCGUUCAGUGUUAUGUAAUGGAGGUGAUUACUAUUAGCUUAGUGGAGCACGUCUGUGUACGGAGAAAACACAAUAAGCUGCUAGCUGCUUCUCGGACGAGGGACUAAAAAUGUCAGCAAUAUUUUGGUACCAAAAUGUAUUUUGAUACUUUUCAAUACUUUUCUAAAUAAAGGGGACUACAAAA